AGAGAGAGAGAGAGAGAGAGAGUGCAGAGAGAAGACAGAGCCUAUGUGUAACGGGGAUGGGCUACAGGCCUAUGUGCAGGCAGUGAUGUGAGGAGGGACACAUCCCCUCCGACUACAGAGACCAGGGCUACUGUGGCCUUGGCAGCAGUGUGUGGGUUGCUGUGUUCUAGAAUCGUGUUCAAAGCUAGUAGUGGUGGCGCAUCUGUCAUCCUAGCACUUGGUAGGUGAAGAAAGGAGGUUCAGGAAUUUAAGGUCACAUUCUUGCCUACAGAGUGAGUUCAAGGCCAGCCUGGGCUACAUGAGACUCUGUCUCCAAAACAAACAAAUAAAAGGGGGGAAAACUCUUCAAAAUACAAGUAAGAGUUAAAACUGUGGGCACUGUCAGGUGUGGUGGCACAUGCCUUUUAUCCUAGCACUCAGAGGCAGAGGCAGGAGAUCUCUGUGAGAGCCAGGCCAGCUUGGGCUGCACAUUGAAACCCUGUGUAACAAAACAACCAAAGACCAACCCAAAACCCUGGCACCUUCACCUGCAUAAGCAGAACACUACUGGGACAGAUGGUCUUCAGAUGCACAUCAUUAGGCUAGGAUGAAGACUAUGCACCACUUGCCCAGGCCCAGGGCUCAGAGAGGUGCUCAGGUAAGGGCAGCUAGGUGCAGGUGGAGGAAGUGGUGACAUCCCCAACCCUGGCAACACAAGGGACUUCUUUGGAAAGUGGUCCCACACUGUUAUGCCACAUCACUGGGAUCACAGCUGAAACGGGCCUGCGGCUCCUCAUGGCUUCCCCAGGGGCGGUGAAACCACAGGGAGAUAAAACAAAGUAGAGAUGGCCUCAUUACCAUGGCCCAAAAUAGCCAGAAUGCUCUGCAUUUCAGGAGUGCUGGGCCGGGUUAUGUAAGAACUCAGGGUUAGGGGUGGGGCUGUGACCCCAAGGGAACCCCGCACUCAGACUUCCACGGGCCCUGUGUGUUCCAGAUCUCAAGACCUGGCCAGGGGGACCUUGCUGGCGUCUGCUGAGCACACCAUGGCCGGCAACCCUAUGAUGCUGAUGAUGGAGGGCUGUGGGGCAGCAUCCACACUGGGCAAAGAGGGCAGCUCAAGCCACGCAGGCCACACCAGAGACAAGAAGAGAUGCCCAGCACCCCAACCCCACCCCAAGCCUUCCCACAUCCCUGAGCUCUCCUUGGGCUCCCAAGACAAUGUCAGUCUUUGGUCCCAGCCUGUGCUGCUCUGAUACCCAGGUGUCUACACAGCCUUAUUCUAGGCCCACCCUGGCAGGCCACCCCAUCCUGUCACUGCUGUGUGACCCAGCUCCAAUGCCCUCACUCUUUUUUUCUUUUUUGUAACACCAGUAGGUUUCUGUUCUAUUUAAAAUGAAGCCAGCUUGCUCAGAACUUCAA
rnacentral:sRNA from 1 species